rnacentral:rRNA from 1 species
CCUACGGGAGGCAGCAGUGAGGAAUAUUGGUCAAUGGCCGUAAGGCUGAACCAGCCAAGUCGCGUGAAGGAAGAAGGAUCUCUGGUUUGUAAACUUCUUUUAUAGGGGAAUAAAGGUAUCCACGUGUGGAUAUUUGCAUGUACCCUAUGAAUAAGCAUCGGCUAACUCCGUGCCAGCCGCCGCGGUAAUACGGAGGAUGCGAGCGUUAUCCGGAUUGAUGGGGUUUAACGGGUGCGUAGGUUGUUUUUUAAGUCAGCGGUGAAAGUUUGUGGCUCAACCAUAAAAUUGCCGUUGAAACUGGAAGACUUGAGUGUGUUUGAGGUAGGCAGAAUGCGUGGUGUAGCGGUGAAAUGCAUAGAUAUCACGCAGAACUCCGAUUGCGAAGGCAGCUUACUAAGCCAUAACUGACACUGAAGCACGAAAGCGUGGGGAUCAAACAGGAUUAGAUACCCGGGUAGUC